GACGAACGCUGGCGGCGUGCCUAAUACAUGCAAGUAGAACGCUGAAGGAGGAGCUUGCUUCUCUGGAUGAGUUGCGAACGGGUGAGUAACGCGUAGGUAACCUGCCUGGUAGCGGGGGAUAACUCUUGGAAACGCUAGCUAAUACCGCAUAAUAGUAGAUGUUGCAUGACAUUUGCUUAAAAGGUGCAAUUGCAUCACUACCAGAUGGACCUGCGUUGUAUUAGCUAGUUGGUGGGGUAACGGCUCACCAAGGCGACGAUACAUAGCCGACCUGAGAGGGUGGUCGGCCACACUGGGACCGGGACACGGCCCAGACUCCUACGGGAGGCAGCAGUAGGGAAUCUUCGGCAAUGGGCGGAAGUCUGAACGAGGAACGCCGCGUGAGUGAAGAAGGGUUUCGGAUCGUAAAGCUCUGUUGUAAGAGAAGAAAGAGUGUGAGAGUGGAAAGUGCACACUGUGACGGUAUCUUACCAGAAAGGGACGGCUAACUACGUG
rnacentral:rRNA from 1 species